AAAAAAAAAAAAAAAAUCACAGUAGAGAAGUCUUGAAACUGGAAGAAACCAUGAAGGAUACUGGGGCCAACACAACUGAUUCACAAGGGCUUCGGAUGCUGAACAAGAGGUUGGAUGAAGUGAAGAGUGUGGUGAAGAAGCAAUAACAGAACGAGGAUGAGAGUUGUCUGAAGUGUUUGGAGACAAAGGGCCAGAGUCUAGUUCAACCUGGUGAUAUACCCAGUGGAGCUCUAGAUGGGAUGUGAUACUUGGUCAAAGUUGGGGAGAAACUAAGAGGUUUUAUUGAGACCAAGGGUUCAGAAUGGAAGAUAGACGAACUGGGGAAAAGCCAGGUGUCGGCUGAGCUGGCCAAGUGCCUGGAACCGAAGCUGUGACUGUGAUCAGUCACAGUGAUGGGGUCACAGUGGAGAGCAGUUUUGGCUUGUAGCCAGGAAGUGGAUCCUGGAGAGAAAAAGGAAAGAGGAAACAAAAUAAUGAAGGUGUAGUGGAAAGAGCACUGAGCAAGGAAUCAAAGGAUGGGAUUUCUAGUUCCAGAUCUACCAUUUACUGAUCAUGUGAUUGUGGGCAUAUUACUCCACGUCCCUGAACCUGUUUCCUCAACUUCGAAAUAGAGAUGAUAAUACUAGCCCUGCCUAUCUCAGAGUUAUAGAAAGCUUAACUGUCAUACCAUAGAGCAAAGCACUUAGCAGCUGGGGAAGCACUAUCCCAAUGUGAGAUGGAAUUCAGAAGGUAUAACGUAGUCUUAGAAUGUCAGGGCUAAAGAGCCAUGUGAACAUCUGCAACCCUCUCAUUUCACCUAUGAAGAAUUUGAGGCCCAGAGGAGAAAUUUCACAGCAAGAGGAGGACAGAGGUAGGCACAUUGCUCCAUUAGUUUCAGAGUAGAACCGCCUUUGUGCUCCCUCUAGGUGUAGGUAAAUGAAACUCACCAAAGGAAGAGAGCUAGCUAGGGGACUUUGGGUUCAAGGGAUACCCCAAAAGGAUGUGCUUCAUCCUAUGUACUCAAAAGUGACAGGCCUGGAGUUCCCUGGUGGUGCAGUG
ensembl:lncRNA